rnacentral:rRNA from 1 species
GGACGAACGCUGGCGGCGUGCUUAACACAUGCAAGUCGAGCGAGGAAAUUCCUUCGGGGAUUUCCUAGCGGCGGACGGGUGAGUAACACGUGGGCAACCUGCCUGAUAGAGGGGGAUAGCCUCCGAAAGGGAGAUUAAUACCGCAUAAAGUCAAAUGAAGGCAUCUUCAAAUGACCAAAGGAGUAAUCCGCUAUCAGAUGGGCCCGCGGCGCAUUAGCUAGUUGGUGAGGUAACGGCUCACCAAGGCGACGAUGCGUAGCCGACCUGAGAGGGUGAUCGGCCACAUUGGGACUGAGACACGGCCCAGACUCCUACGGGAGGCAGCAGUGGGGAAUAUUGCACAAUGGGGGAAACCCUGAUGCAAGCAACGCCGCGUGAGUGAUGAAGGCCUUCGGGUUGUAAAGCUCUGUCUUCAGGGACGAUAAUGACGGUACCUGAGGAGGAAGCCACGGCUAACUACGUGCCAGCCGCGGC